GCAGACUUCUGCAACAUCAGUCCUAGCAACAGUUUUAGUUUCUGUCUCAAGAAGUUCAUCGUCCUUUCCAACAAGUAGUUCCCUUAUACCACCUUCUUUAUCUUGUAGCCCUCCAGCCCUUAUAAUUGUAUAUGGAAUUCCACAGUCAGCCAAGUAUUGUUCAGCCUUUCUUUUCCAAAUCAAUAUAUUCCCGUUCCCCAAUCUGUUCAAGGGGUGAUUAGGAUUUGUCCCUCCCAUUGACCCAACUAGCACGAUCUGCUUCACACCAGCAGCUUUAGCAGCAUCUAUUUGGUUCUUUUGGCCGAUCCAGUCUACCUGUUCAGGAUUUGCCCCAUCCUCAAAAUAGAAUUCAGGUCUUCCGCCUUUUGUUGGAUCAUACCCGGGUUUCAUUUUUGGAACAGCACUUGUAAGAAUAACAAGAGCAUCAAUACCUUGUAUAGCAGGAACAAGACUCUCGGUAUUCCUGAUAUCACCAAUAUAAACAUCAUCUGCACCACCAACUUUUUGUUUGCUUUCCUCUGUUCUAACCAAACCUCUGGCUGUAUAAGUCUCGGACCUCUCCUUCAACUUCUUAUAGACAAUUGAUCCAGUUCUUCCACCAGCACCAGUAACAAGAACAGUGCUUGUGUUCAAAUCAGCCAUUGCCAACACAGAAAAUCUGCAAAAUUUCUUGUUUUUCUUUGGAAAUGAAACAAAUGAUGAGGUAUUUUUUACAAGUGAAGAAGACAAUUCUGGAAGUCUCUGAUUUACCAAACUUAAUUUAUGGCUUUGGUAAGGAGAUACACGUGUCAAGGCAGC
rnacentral:misc_RNA from 1 species